rnacentral:rRNA from 1 species
GAUGAACGCUGGCGGCGUGCUUAACACAUGCAAGUCGAACGGACGGGCCCUGCUCUUGCUGGGUGCUCGAGUGGCGAACGGGUGAGUAACACGCGAGUAUCCUGUCCCUGUCUUUGGGAUAACACUACGAAACUGGGGCUAUUAUCCGAUAGGAGCUCUUGCUGCACGGUGGGGGUUGGAAAGUUACGGCGGUUCGGGAUCGACUCGCUGCUUAUCCGCUUGUUUGUCGGGUAGUUGCUUUCCAAGGUUUUGACGGAUAGCCCGCCUGAGAGGGUGACCGGCCACAUUAGGACUAAGGUACGGCGCAGACUCCUACGGGAGGCAGCGGUGGGGAGUAUUGCGCAGUGGGCGGAAGCGUGAUGCAGCGACGCCGCGUGCGGGAUACCGGCCUACGAGUUGUAAACCGCUGUCGCCUGUGACGAGGCGUGAGUGACGGUAAUGAGUAAGAAAGCACCGGCUAACUACGUG